AGUAACCUGCCUUGGAUGGGGAAUAACAGCUGGAAACAGCUGCUAAUACCGCAUAAUGCAGUUGGGUCGCAUGGCUCUGACUGCCAAAGAUUUAUCGCUCUGAGAUGGACUCGCGUCUGAUUAGCUAGUUGGCGGGGUAACGGCCCACCAAGGCGACGAUCAGUAGCCGGACUGAGAGGUUGGCCGGCCACAUUGGGACUGAGACACGGCCCAGACUCCUACGGAAGGCAGCAG
rnacentral:rRNA from 1 species